AGCUACAGGCUUAACACAUGCAAGUCGAGGGGCAGCAUGGUCUUAGCUUGCUAAGGCCGAUGGCGACCGGCGCACGGGUGAGUAACACGUAUCCAACCUGCCGUCUACUCUUGGACAGCCUUCUGAAAGGAAGAUUAAUACAAGAUGGCAUCAUGAGUCCGCAUGUUCACAUGAUUAAAGGUAUUCCGGUAGACGAUGGGGAUGCGUUCCAUUAGAUAGUAGGCGGGGUAACGGCCCACCUAGUCUUCGAUGGAUAGGGGUUCUGAGAGGAAGGUCCCCCACAUUGGAACUGAGACACGGUCCAAACUCCUACGGGAGGCAGCAGUGAGGAAUAUUGGUCAAUGGGCGAGAGCCUGAACCAGCCAAGUAGCGUGAAGGAUGACUGCCCUAUGGGUUGUAAACUUCUUUUAUAAAGGAAUAAAGUCGGGUAUGGAUACCCGUUUGCAUGUACUUUAUGAAUAAGGAUCGGCUAACUCCGUGCCAGCAGCCGCGGUAAUACGGAGGAUCCGAGCGUUAUCCGGAUUUAUUGGGUUUAAAGGGAGCGUAGAUGGAUGUUUAAGUCAGUUGUGAAAGUUUGCGGCUCAACCGUAAAAUUGCAGUUGAUACUGGAUAUCUUGAGUGCAGUUGAGGCAGGCGGAAUUCGUGGUGUAGCGGUGAAAUGCUUAGAUAUCACGAAGAACUCCGAUUGCGAAGGCAGCCUGCUAAGCUGCAACUGACAUUGAGGCUCGAAAGUGUGGGUAUCAAACAGGAUUAGAUACCCUGGUAGUCCACACGGUAAACGAUGAAUACUCGCUGUUUGCGAUAUACUGCAAGCGGCCAAGCGAAAGCGUUAAGUAUUCCACCUGGGGAGUACGCCGGCAACGGUGAAACUCAAAGGAAUUGACGGGGGCCCGCACAAGCGGAGGAACAUGUGGUUUAAUUCGAUGAUACGCGAGGAACCUUACCCGGGCUUAAAUUGCAGAUGAAUUACGGUGAAAGCCGUAAGCCGCAAGGCAUCUGUGAAGGUGCUGCAUGGUUGUCGUCAGCUCGUGCCGUGAGGUGUCGGCUUAAGUGUCAUAACGAGCGCAACCCUUGUUGUCAGUUACUAACAGGUUCCGCUGAGGACUCUGACAAGACUGCCAUCGUAAGAUGUGAGGAAGGUGGGGAUGACGUCAAAUCAGCACGGCCCUUACGUCCGGGGCUACACACGUGUUACAAUGGGGGGUACAGAGGGCCGCUACCACGCGAGUGGAUGCCAAUCCCCAAAACCUCUCUCAGUUCGGACUGGAGUCUGCAACCCGACUCCACGAAGCUGGAUUCGCUAGUAAUCGCGCAUCAGCCACGGCGCGGUGAAUACGUUCCCGGGCCUUGUACACACCGCCCGUCAAGCCAUGGGAGCCGGGGGUACCUGAAGUACGUAACCGCAAGGAUCGUCCUAGGGUAAAACUGGUGACUGGGGCUAAGUCAUAA
rnacentral:rRNA from 1 species